UACAGAGGAUGCAAGCGUUAUCCGGAAUGAUUGGGCGUAAAGCGUCUGUAGGUGGCUUUUUAAGUCCGCCGUCAAAUCCCAGGGCUCAACUCAGAGACUGCUUCCGAAACUGCUGUGCUUGAGUGUGGGAGAGGCGCGUGGAAUUGCAGGUGUAGCGGUGAAAUGCGUAGAUAUCUGCAGGAACACCCGUGGCGAAAGCGGCGCGCUGGACCACUACUGACGCUGAGGAACGAAAGCUAGGGGAGCAAACAGG
rnacentral:rRNA from 1 species